ensembl:lncRNA
AUGGUGGCAGGUACGGGAUAUUUUAAAGCGCUCUCCGACGGGACUGUGGAGGUCUUGUUUCUGGAUGGAGUUAGAGCGCAGAUGAUGUGGAAGUCCGACACAUAUACACCUGCACAGUGUGGAGAAAUGGAACAGAAACUCAGGGCAGAAACCAGACCGUCUCACAGGUGGUGCCAGCUCAAUUUGCCAGAUGGGCACCAAACUCUUGUCCAAGUUGAGACAGACCAAACUUAUCAGAGGUAUGUGUCGGCAGUAGUGCAGUGGUGUGACUGGGUGAAACAGACAGAUCAGAGCAUGAGUGCAGUGGGUGUGGCUCUCUCAGACUCCGCCCAUUGUGACACACCUCAGCCAAUAACGUACAGGUAUUGAGGAACUCUUAUUCCCUGGAUCAUUAUUUUUUAUUAUUAUUAUAGUCAUUUGCAUCACAUGACUUGCAAGAUGCAUAUCAGUCACUCUUAAAAGGAUAGUUCACCUGGAAAUGUCAGUAUUUAUGGUAAAAAACAAAAUUUCUUAAUCAUUCUGAUUUCUUACGUCCCUGUAGAUCUGUUAUUUCUGAACUGGAAAAGAUCAAGAGGUUUAACUGUAUCCUUUCUGUGAGAUUAUGUGACUGAGUUGGUUUGGAUUUUGAUUAUUGAGAGCAGAAUGCCCUUGGGUAGAUAUUUCUUUAAAAUAAUCCACCAGUUUUGUUGGAGAACAGCCCCGUCCUGCGUCCUACCGGAAGAUCUUUGAGCUGUGAGCGUUUUUCUGACCCACCUGAGAUCAAACUCACGGAGAACUGCAUCUCUGAGGCUCUGCAGAAAACCUCCAGAGCCAUACAGGACAUCGACACGCUCUUAUCAGACAGACCGUAGAACUGAAUGCAGACACAUACAGCUUUCCAGAAAAAUUGUUUGGUUUUAUGGAACUUAUUCAGUGAAAUGUAAUGAGAUACAGAGAUACAUGAGUCACUAAACCUGUCAAGAACACAUCUGGGUCAUAUUUCACACCAAAACAUAGCAAGAAACUAUAUUUUAUUGUAAAUUAAAUAAUAAAGUCCUGUUUUUUAGGAUGUUUAAGCA